rnacentral:rRNA from 1 species
CUUUGCUGGCGACCGGCGCACGGGUGAGUAACACGUAUCCAACCUACCCUUACUCGGGGAUAGCCUUUCGAAAGAAAGAUUAAUACCUGAUGGCAUAGUUCUUCCGCAUGGUAGAACUAUUAAAGAAUUUCGGUCAUCGACGGGGAUGCGUUCCAUUAGGUUGUUGGCGGGGUAACGGCUCACCAAGCCUUCGAUGGAUAGGGGUUCUGAGAGGAAGGUCCCCCCACAUUGGAACUGAGACACGGUCCAAACUCCUACGGGAGGCAGCAUG